UUUUCCUGCUAAAUACACUUGACUUUGAUCGGUAUCUGAAUUGCGGAAUCUCGCACAGAGCAAAACCCCUCUUUGUUCAUCGCCCAAAUCCCCCAAUUCAAUCCAAAUCAAUUUCUUCUGCAACUUCACCUUCCGAUUCUCGGCAUACACCUUUGCUCUCCGCACAGAAUCUAUUGCAGGAAAAGUAUGGAUGGCAACAAAGAUGAAGCAUUGAAGUGUUUGAACAUCGCCAAGAACUCAAUUCAAUCCGGCGACAGAGAUCGCGCCCUAAAAUUCCUCAAUAAAGCCCGUAGGCUUGAUCCGUCUAUCCAAAUCGACGAAUUUCUCUCCAAUCUCAGCGAUUCACCGCCGGAGGAGAAAAGCCCUAAUUCACCCACCGACGAAAGCCCUCCCGAUCCAUCGAAAACUGGCCCCCGCCGUAGGGCUCCGGCCGCCGCGCGAUCGACGUCGUCUUCUUCCACCGCAUCGGCGACCUAUACGGAGGAGCAGGUGACAAUUGUCAGAGAUAUUAAGAGGAAGAAGGAUUACUACGAGAUUUUAGGGGUGGAGAAAAGUUGCUCUGGUGAGGAUGUUCGGAAGGCGUAUAGGAAGCUCUCUUUGAAGGUCCAUCCUGAUAAGAACACGGCGCCAGGGGCGGAGGAGGCGUUCAAGAUGGUUUCCAAGGCAUUUCAGUGCUUGAGCGAUGAGGAGAGCCGUAAGAAAUAUGACGUCUUGGGGUCGGAUGAGCCGGUCUACGUGAGGAGAGGCGGAGGGGGUGGUCAAGGGAUGCGUGGCUUUAACGGGUUUUAUGAAGCGGACGUUGAUGCGGAUGAGAUUUUUAGGAAUUUCUUCUUCGGGGGAAUGCAUCCUGCAACGACUGGGAAUUUCGGGGGAUUUGCGUUUGGACCAGGUGUGAGAGUGAGAACUGGUGGAGCUGGAGUUGGAGUUGAUCAUAGCCCUAAUUGGGUGAGAACUGUGGGGCAGUUGCUGCCGGUGAUACUCAUAUUGUUAGUGAACUUCAUGCCUUCAUCGGAGCCGGUUUACUCCCUCUCUCGGACUAACUACCAUGAUGUUAGGUUCACUACACCGAAGGGGGUGAACUAUUUUGCCAACUCUGGGAAGUUCGAGCAGCAGUAUCCGGCUAAUAGUCACGAACGCGUUGCAAUUGAGCAACGUGUGGAGGAUGAUUACCAUAAUUCCUUAGUGCAUAACUGCAGGGUUGAGUGGCAGCAACUUCAUUGGGGAUAUAGGCGGGAGACGCCGAAUUGUGAUGCAUUGAGGCGCUUUGAGGCUAUGGCUCAGUGAAGCAUUGAGGCGGAUGUCGCCACGGUGACAUGAUUAAAGUUUACAAAUCUACUCAAAGCUAAGACAUGCCAGGGUAUUAGUUGAGUGCUGUAAUCUGAGUAAUGUGUCUGUACCUAGUCAACUAAAAUCCUGUCCGUAGGGGAAAAUAGAGGCAGAUUACUCUGUGCAGGGAAUUACUCUCUUCACCCCGACCAACAAUUGAUGCAUUCUUUUCGGAGCUUGUGUCUGGCUUCAAUGUGUGUUUGCUCCAUCUCUAUUAUUUUAUAGAGAUAUUGGAAAGAGGGAAUGAGACAAUUCGAUGAUAUGUACGGACAUAUUAACAAGAAUCGGUAUAAUUUGGGUGUAUUCGUGAUUAAUUAGUGGAACCAGGAGAGAUUCAUAUGAAGCCUUUAUCCUACAUAACAGAGGAGGAUGCUCCAACUCCAACACCAUAUAUUUUUUUGCCAUUCGACAUUUUAAUCUUACUAUAUUAUACCAAAUGUCAAUUGAACUUUUGUGUAGUUGAUACCUGUUAGUAUUAUAUUCCCUGCUUUCAGCCUGUGUAUUCUUUCACAUAUAAACAUGGUUUUGCAAUCUGAUUCCUUUCUUUGCGUGCGA